AGCGGUAGAGAGAAGCUUGCUUCUCUUGAGAGCGGCGGACGGGUGAGUAAUGCCUAGGAAUCUGCCUGGUAGUGGGGGAUAACGUUCGGAAACGGACGCUAAUACCGCAUACGUCCUACGGGAGAAAGCAGGGGACCUUCGGGCCUUGCGCUAUCAGAUGAGCCUAGGUCGGAUUAGCUAGUUGGUGGGGUAAUGGCUCACCAAGGCGACGAUCCGUAACUGGUCUGAGAGGAUGAUCAGUCACACUGGAACUGAGACACGGUCCAGACUCCUACGGGAGGCAGCAGUGGGGAAUAUUGGACAAUGGGCGAAAGCCUGAUCCAGCCAUGCCGCGUGUGUGAAGAAGGUCUUCGGAUUGUAAAGCACUUUAAGUUGGGAGGAAGGGUUGUAGAUUAAUACUCUGCAAUUUUGACGUUACCGACAGAAUAAGCACCGGCUAACUCUGUGCCAGCAGCCGCGGUAAUACAGAGGGUGCAAGCGUUAAUCGGAAUUACUGGGCGUAAAGCGCGCGUAGGUGGUUUGUUAAGUUGGAUGUGAAAUCCCCGGGCUCAACCUGGGAACUGCAUUCAAAACUGACUGACUAGAGUAUGGUAGAGGGUGGUGGAAUUUCCUGUGUAGCGGUGAAAUGCGUAGAUAUAGGAAGGAACACCAGUGGCGAAGGCGACCACCUGGACUAAUACUGACACUGAGGU
rnacentral:rRNA from 1 species